rnacentral:rRNA from 1 species
UACGUAGGUGACAAGCGUUGUCCGGAUUUACUGGGCGUAAAGAGCGCGCAGGCGGUCGUUCAAGUCGAGUGUGAAAGCCCCCGGCUCAACUGGGGAGGGUCACUCGAUACUGAUCGACUCGAAGGCAGGAGAGGGUAGUGGAAUUCCCCGGUGUAGUGGUGAAAUGCGUAGAUAUCAGGAGGAACACCAAUUGCGAAGGCAGCUCGCUGGGACGUUACUGACGCUGAGACGCGAAAGCGUGGGGAGCAACAGG